rnacentral:lncRNA from 14 species
CUGCUGACGCGGUGCCGGGGUUGAGCCACGGAGGCAGCCGGCUCCGCUCCCGGUGCCCUGGCGGUCCCCGGGGGCCUGUGCUCGGCGCUGGGCAGCCGCGGCCGGGGUCUGCCGCAUGAGUGCUGGCGUGCCCGAGCACCACGGAGGGCAGGCCGCCUGGCCUCCAGCACCUCCUCGCUGCUGGUUGCUGUUGCGGUCUCUUUAAUAGAGAUUGAGUCGCUGUGUCUACACGCCUACGAAAUAGGUGGGGUAAUCCUCGGGUUAUCUGCAUGAAUGUGACCAGCUGUGUAAGAAGUCCCUGAGCUGCCUAGUGCAUUCCAGUGUGGGGUAUGCUGUGGGCUGUGGAGAACAUCCAAGUGACCAGUGUUACAGAAGAGGCAAAGAGGAGAAAGAAGCUUCUGAACUGUCAACUUCUUCCGGCAGCGCCGCAGAACUGUGGCAUGUGGCAUUGUUAUGACCAUCUUGAAGGAAUACCUGGAUCUGACCUCACUGUUUGUGAUACUGGAUUUCAGAGAGACUUCAGAGUGUACCUGCAGCUGAGACAGACAUGGUUAGCAUUUAGUAAGUGCCCUUUAAACUUGGUAUCUGUUAAUAGAUAUUCAGGAGAUUCAGUUGCUGUCUUGCUACAGUUUCUGCCUUGGUAA